rnacentral:rRNA from 1 species
GACAGAGGUGCCGAGCGUUAGGCGGAAUCACUGGGCUUAAAGCGUGUGUAGGCGGAGGCCUAAGUACCUUGUGAAAUCCCACGGCUCAACCGUGGAACUGCUUGGUAUACUGGGUCUCUUGAGCCACCUAGGGGCAAGUGGAACAAGCGGUGGAGCGGUGAAAUGCGUAGAUAUCGUUUGGAACGCCAAUGGUGAAAACAACUUGCUGGGGGUGUGGCUGACGCUGAGACA